AACGAACGCUGGCGGCGUGCUUAACACAUGCAAGUCGAACGGAGAGCGAUGGAAGCUUGGUUCUAUCAAUCUUAGUGGCGAACGCGUGAGUAACGUGUAAUCAACCUGCCCUUCACAUGGGGCCUACAGUUGGAAACGAUUGCCUAUACCGCAUACGAUCUAAUCUCGGCAUCGAGGAUAGAUGAAAAGUGGCCGCUACUUGUUAGCCAUCUCUGUAAGAGGGGAGUGCGCGUGAUUAGCGCGUUCGAGGGGUACCGGCCCACCAAGGUGAUGAUCAGUAGCCGGUCUGAGGGGGUGAACGGCCACAAUGGGACUGAGGCACGGCCCAGGCUGCUGAGGGAGGCAGCGGUAGGGAAUCAUUGGCGAUGGAGGAAAGUCUGGCGGAGCAACGACGCGUGAGUGAAAACAGCCUUCGGGUUGUAAAACUCUGUUAGUCGGGAAGAAAGAGCUUCAUGCGAAUACAGAGAAGGAUUGACGGUACCGAAAUAAAAAGCCACGGCUAACUACGUG
rnacentral:rRNA from 1 species